rnacentral:rRNA from 1 species
GACGAACGCUGGCGGCGUGCCUAAUACAUGCAAGUCGAGCGGACGGAUGGGAGCUUGCUCCCAGACCGUCAGCGGCGGACGGGUGAGUAACACGUGGGCAACCUGCCUGUAAGACUGGGAUAACUCCGGGAAACCGGGGCUAAUACCGGAUAACUCUUUCCCUCACAUGAGGGAAAGCUGAAAGAUGGCAUCUCGCUAUCACUUACAGAUGGGCCCGCGGCGCAUUAGCUAGUUGGUGAGGUAACGGCUCACCAAGGCGACGAUGCGUAGCCGACCUGAGAGGGUGAUCGGCCACACUGGGACUGAGACACGGCCCAGACUCCUACGGGAGGCAGCAGUAGGCAAUCUUCCGCAAAGGACGAAAGUCUGACGGAGCAACGCCGCGUGAGUGAUGAAGGUUUUCGGAUCGUAAAACUCUGUUGUCAGGGAAGAACAAGUACCGGAGUAACUGCCGGUACCUUGACGGUACCUGACCAGAAAGCCACGGCUAACUACGUG